AAACUACUCCCUCCGUCUCAUAUUAAGUGACUUUCUAUUACAUGUAUCUAGACGCUUUUUAGGCAUAGAUACAUCCAUAUUUGGGCAAAUUUGAGUCACUUAAUAUGGGACGGAGGGAGUAGUUA
rnacentral:pre_miRNA from 1 species